rnacentral:snoRNA from 1 species
UAACAAUGAUGGUGACAUUCAAGUUAGUAGCUCUUGAAUCUCUCCCAUGCGUUUUUGAAUGAUUCCCGUGAACCUUGACAGAAAGUGGAGAUUUUCUUCAUGACA